UACGUAGGUGGCAAGCGUUGUCCGGAAUUAUUGGGCGUAAAGCGCGCGCAGGUGGUUUCUUAAGUCUGAUGUGAAAGCCCACGGCUCAACCGUGGAGGGUCAUUGGAAACUGGGGAACUUGAGUGCGGGAGAGAAGAGUGGAAUUCCACGUGUAGCGGUGAAAUGCGUAGAGAUGUGGAGGAACACCAGUGGCGAAGGCGGGUCUCUGGACAGUUCCUGACACUGAGGCACGAAGGCCAGGGGAGCAAACGGG
rnacentral:rRNA from 1 species